GCAUAUCAAUAAGCGGAGGAAAGAAACCAACAGGGAUUGCCCCAGUAACGGCGAGUGAAGCGGCAACAGCCCAAAUUUGAAAUCUGGCCCCCGUGGUCCGAGUUGUAAUUUGGAGAGGAUGCCUCGGCAACAGCCCCAGUCGAAGUUCCUUGGAACAGGAUGUCAUAGAGGGUGAGAAUCCCGUCCGUGGCCGGUGGCUGGCGCCGUGUGAGGCUCCUUCGACGAGUCGAGUUGUUUGGGAAUGCAGCUCUAAGUGGGAGGUAAAUUUCUUCUAAGGCUAAAUAUCAGCUGGAGACCGAUAGCGCACAAGUAGAGUGAUCGAAAGGUGAAAAGCACUUUGGAAAGAGGGUGAAACAGCACGUGAAAUUGUUGAAAGGGAAGCGCUUGCAACCAGAGUUGCCUGUGGAGGCUCAGCCGGCCCCUGGGCCGGUGCACUCCCCCACGGGCAGGCCAGCAUCAGUUUGACCGGCCGGACAAAGGCCGCGGGAACGUAGCACCCCCCGGGGUGUGUUAUAGCCCGUGGCACAAUACGGCCCGGUCGGACUGAGGAACGCGCUUCGGCACGGAUGUUGGCGUAAUGGUGGUCAGCGGCCCGUCUUGAAACACGGACCAAGGAGUCUAACAUCUAUGCGAGUGUUCGGGUGUCAAACCCGUGAGCGUAAUGAAAGUGAACGGAGGUGGGAGCCCUCGGGCGCACCAUCGACCGAUCCUGAUGUCUUCGGAUGGAUUUGAGUAUGAGCAUAGCUGUUGGGACCCGAAAGAUGGUGAACUAUGCGUGAAUAGGGUGAAGCCAGAGGAAACUCUGGUGGAGGCUCRCAGCGGUUCUGACGUGCAAAUCGAUCGUCAAAUUUGCGCAYAGGGGCGAAAGACUAAUCGAACCAUCUAGUAGCUGGUUCCUGCCGAA
rnacentral:rRNA from 1 species